UACGGAGGGUGCAAGCGUUAUCCGGAUUCACUGGGCUUAAAGGGUGCGUAGGCGGGCAGUUAAGUCAGUGGUGAAAUCCUUGAGCUCAACUCGAGAACUGCCAUUGAUACUAUCUGUCUUGAAUAUUGUGGAGGUAAGCGGAAUAUGUCAUGUAGCGGUGAAAUGCUUAGAUAUGACAUAGAACACCUAUUGCGAAGGCAGCUUACUGCGCAUAUAUUGACUCUGAGGCACGAAAGCGUGGGGAGCAAACAGG
rnacentral:rRNA from 1 species